UACGUAGGGUGCAAGCGUUGUCCGGAAUUAUUGGGCGUAAAGAGCUCGUAGGCGGUCUGUCGCGUCUGCUGUGAAAACUCGGGGCUUAACCCCGGGCCUGCAGUGGGUACGGGCAGACUAGAGUGCGGAAGAGGAGAGUGGAAUUCCUGGUGUAGCGGUGAAAUGCGCAGAUAUCAGGAAGAACACCCGUGGCGAAGGCGGCUCUCUGGGACGGUACUGACGCUGAGACGCGAAAGCGUGGGGAGCGAACAGG
rnacentral:rRNA from 1 species